CAAUUGGUGGUAUCCAGACUG
rnacentral:miRNA from 1 species